rnacentral:tRNA from 4 species
GGCGGAUGUAGCCAAGUGGAUCACGGCAGU